rnacentral:rRNA from 1 species
UACGUAGGCAGCGAGCGUUUGUUCGGAAUUACUGGGCGUAAAGAGUGUGUAGGCGGUGCUCUAAGUUCGGGUGUGAAAUCUCCUGGCUCAACUGGGAGGGUGCGCCGGAAACUGGAGUGCUUGAGCGUGGGAGAGGAAAGCGGAAUUCCUGGUGUAGCGGUGAAAUGCGUAGAUAUCAGGAGGAACACCGGUGGCGAAGGCGGGUCUCUGGGCCGAUACUGACGCUGAGGAGCGAAAGCGUGGGGAGCGAACAGG